GGCCUUGUAACUUAGUGGUAUAAAGCUCCUGCCUAGUAAGCAGGAGAUCCUGGAUUCAAAUCCCAGUAGGGCCU